rnacentral:rRNA from 1 species
UAAGGAAUAUUGGUCAAUGGACGAAAGUCUGAACCAGCCAUGCCGCGUGGAGGAUGAAGGUCCUCUGGAUUGUAAACUUCUUUUAUUUGGGACGAAAAAGGGAAAUUCUUUUCCACUUGACGGUACCAGAUGAAUAAGCACCGGCUAACUCCGUGCCAGCAGCCGCGGUAAUACGGAGGGUGCAAGCGUUAUCCGGAUUCACUGGGUUUAAAGGGUGCGUAGGCGGAUAGGGAAGUCCGUGGGUGAAAUCCUGCAGCUUAACUGCAGAACUGCCGUGGAUACUCUCUAUCUUGAAUAUCGUGGAGGUUAGCGGAAUAUGUCAUGUAGCGGUGAAAUGCUUAGAUAUGACAUAGAACACCCAUUGCGAAGGCAGCUAACUACGCGAUCAUUGACGCUGAUGCACGAAAGCGUGGGGAUCAAACAGGAUUAGAUACCCUGGUAGUCCACGCCCUAAACGAUGAUUACUCGACAUUGGCGAUACACAGUCAGUGU